rnacentral:misc_RNA from 1 species
GUUCUUUUAUCUGUAUAUUUAAUAAGAAGCUGAGUAGUUCUUGUCACGACUUCUUGAUGUUAAUAUAUUGAAAAAAGUUUCAGCUGAGGUUGAUUGGGAGAUCGUCUUAGUGAUGGAUGAUGACUGAUGUUUGAGUAAAAUUAGGCUCAGUUUGUACUUUGGAACUCUCAUAUACUGCUUCAAUUCCCCUAGGGCAGGUUGGAGAUGGGGUCUUGUGGUAAGCUGUAUUAAAAUAUUAGACGUCCUGGA